rnacentral:tRNA from 1 species
GGGGAUAUAGCUCAGUUGGUAGAGUGUUUGUCUUGGAUGCAAAAGGCCCUGGGUUCAAUCCCCAGCACCACCA